UACGUAGGGGGCGAGCGUUAUCCGGAUUUACUGGGCGUAAAGCGCGUUAAGGCGGUUGGCAAAGUUGGUUGUGAAAUCUCAGGGCUCAACCCUGAAACUGCGACCAAUACUGGUCGACUAGAGUGUGAGAGAGGAAGGUGGAAUUCCCGGUGUAGCGGUGAAAUGCGCAGAUAUCGGGAGGAACACCGGUGGCGAAGGCGGUUCUCUGGGCCUUACCUGACGCUGAGGAGCGAAAGCGUGGGGAGCGAACAGG
rnacentral:rRNA from 1 species